AAUCAACGCUGGCGGCGUGCCUCAGACAUGCAAGUCGAACGAUUAAAGCUCCCUUCGGGGAGUGCAUAGAGUGGCGCACGGGUGAGUAACACGUAAGUAAUCUACCUUCGAGUGGGGAAUAACGUCCGGAAACGGACGCUAAUACCGCAUAAUGCAGCGGCAUCGCAAGAUGACAGUUGUUAAAGAUUUAUCGCUUGAAGAGGAGCUUGCGGCAGAUUAGCUAGUUGGUAAGGUAAUGGCUUACCAAGGCUACGAUCUGUAACCGGUCUAAGAGGACGGUCGGUCACACUGACACUGAACAACGGGUCAGACUCCUACGGGAGGCAGCAGUCGGGAAUUUUGGGCAAUGGGCGAAAGCCUGACCCAGCAACGCCGCGUGAAGGAUGGAGUAUUUCGGUAUGUAAACUUCGAAAGAAUGGGAAGAAUCAAUGACGGUACCAUUUAUAAGGUCCGGCUAACUACGUGCCAGCAGCCGCCGUAAUAC
rnacentral:rRNA from 1 species